AUUGAACGCUGGCGGCAGGCCUAACACAUGCAAGUCGAACGAGUGGCGGACGGGUGAGUAAUGUCUGGGAAACUGCCUGAUGGAGGGGGAUAACUAAUGGAAACGGUAGCUAAUACCGCAUAUUAUUCGAUCUGCCAAGAGGGGAUUCGCGUGUUGGUGGGGUAAAGGCUCACCAAGGCGACGAUCCCUAGCGGGUCUGAGAGGAUGACCAGCCACACUGGAACUGAGACACGGUCCAGACUCCUACGGGAGGCAGCAGUGGGGAAUAUUGCACAAUGGGCGCAAGCCUGAUGCAGCCAUGCCGCGUGUAUGAAGAAGGCCUUCGGGUUGUAAAGUACUUUCGGCGGGGAGGCGUUACCCGCAGAAUAAGCACCGGCUAACUCCGUGCCAGCAGCCGCGGUAAUUC
rnacentral:rRNA from 1 species